UUGUUGCAUUGCAUAGGUUGUGCAUAUGAGUUGUUUGUGUGUUAUUGAGUACUUAUUGUAUGGAUUUGUGUAAUUGAAAUGUAUGAAGCUGAUGUUUUUUGCCUUUAGGCUACCCUUACAUUCUUUUGCACCAUUAUAUAUUUUGAGCGUAUUCAUCCAUUUAUUUUGUUAUAGCCUGAUAUACUCCUUCUUAGAAUACAAACAAAGAGAUAGAUGAAUACCUACUUUAGAGAUGAAGAUGAUAUUAAGGCUAUU
rnacentral:lncRNA from 1 species